AGAGUUUGAUCCUGGCUCAGAAUCAACGCUGGCGGCGUGCCUAACACAUGCAAGUCGAACGAGAAAGUGGAGCAAUCCAUGAGUAAAGUGGCGACCGGGUGAGUAACACGUGACCAAUCUACCCUUGAGUGGGGGAUAACCUCGGGAAACCGGGGCUAAUACCGCAUAACAUCCUCGGAACGGAAGUGCUGGGGAUCAAAGGAGCAAUUCGCUUAAGGAGGAGGUCGCGGCUGAUUAGCUAGUUGGCGGGGUAAUGGCCCACCAAGGCAAAGAUCGGUAGCCAGCCUGAGAGGGCGCACGGCCACACUGGAACUGAAACACGGUCCAGACUCCUACGGGAGGCAGCAGUGGGGAAUUUUGCACAAUGGGGGAAACCCUGACGCAGCAACGCCGCGUGGAGGAUGAAGUCCCUUGGGACGUAAACUCCUUUCGACCCGGACGAUAAUGACGGUACGGGUGGAAGAAGCCCCGGCUAACUUCGUGCCAGCAGCCGCGGUAAUACUAGGGGGGCAAGCGUUGUUCGGA
rnacentral:rRNA from 1 species